rnacentral:tRNA from 1 species
GGAGAGGUGGCCGAGUGGUUUAAGGCGCACGCUUGGAAAGCGUGUAUCUCGCAAGGGAUCGCAGGUUCGAAUCCUGUUCUCUCCG